CGCGUCCUACGGGGGGCAGCAGUGGGGGAUAUUGCACAAUGGGGGGAACCCUGAUGCAGCAACGCCGCGUGAAGGAAGAAGGGUUUCGGCUCGUAAACUUCUAUUAACAGGGACGAAAGAAAUGACGGUACCUGAAUAAGAAGCCCCGGCUAACUACGUGCCAGCAGCCGCGGGAAUACGUAGGGGGCAAGCGUUAUCCGGAAUUACUGGGUGUAAAGGGUGAGUAGGCGGCAUGGUAAGCCAGAUGUGAAAGCCUUGGGCUUAACCCGAGGAUUGCAUUUGGAACUAUCAAGCUAGAGUACAGG
rnacentral:rRNA from 1 species